GAUGAACGCUGGCGGCGUGCCUAAUACAUGCAAGUCGAGCGAACGGACGAGAAGCUUGCUUCUCUGAUGUUAGCGGCGGACGGGUGAGUAACACGUGGAUAACCUACCUAUAAGACUGGGAUAACUUCGGGAAACCGUAGCUAAUACCGGAUAAUCUUUUGAACCACAUGGUUCAAAAGUGAAAGACGGUCUUGCUGUCACUUCUCGAUGGAUCCGCGCUGCAUUAGCUAGUUGGUAAGGUAACGGCUUACCACGGCAACGAUGCAUGGCCGACCUGAGAGGGUGAUCGGCCACACUGGAACUUAGACACGGUCCAGACUCCUACGGGAGGCAGCAGUAGGGAAUCUUCCGCAAUGGUCGAAAGCCUUACGGAGCAACGCCGCGUGAGUUAUGAAGGUCUUCCGAUCGUAAAACUCUGUUAUUAGGGAAGAACAUAUUUGUAAGUAACUGUGCACAUCUUGACGGUACCUAAUCAGAAAGCCACGGCUAACUACGUG
rnacentral:rRNA from 1 species